rnacentral:rRNA from 1 species
GACGAACGCUGGCGGCGUGCUUAACACAUGCAAGUCGAGCGGUAAGGCCCUUUCGGGGGUACACGAGCGGCGAACGGGUGAGUAACACGUGGGUGACCUGCCUCUAGCUCUGGGAUAAGCCUGGGAAGCUGGGUCUAAUACCGGAUAUGACCUCGCGGUGCAUGUUGCGGGGUGGAAAGCCUUGUGCGGCUAGGGAUGGGCCCGCGGCCUAUCAGCUUGUUGGUGGGGUGANGGCCUACCAAGGCGACGACGGGUAGCCGGCCUGAGAGGGCGACCGGCCACACUGGGACUGAGACACGGCCCAGACUCCUACGGGAGGCAGCAGUGGGGAAUCUUGCGCAAUGGGCGAAAGCCUGACGCAGCGACGCCGCGUGAGGGAUGACGGCCUCGGUUGUAA